GGCCUGGGGUUUGCCCGUUCGGAUCCUUGGUGUGGACAUGGCACCACUUGGCACACCAUGCUGUGGAAAGAAAGGGAGGUACCUUGAAGACCAAUUUUCUGUUUAACUGAAGAAGGGUCUGACUGGAACAGAAAUUGCAUAUCUUCUUACACAUCUAAUCUACAAGAGGAAAAGGUGAAGCGGGUUUGAAAACCAAUUAUGUGGUGUAAAAGAGGACAAUUGGAAGCACUGGCUGUAUUACCAAGGCUUUGACUAGAAUGUCAUAUUUGAGAGAGAUGUAUGUGGACUCGGAUAUGACCAGACAUCUUUAAGAAAUUGCUUGGAAAAACUUGUUUAUAGGGUUUCCAGCAGCCUUACCAGCACUGGACUGAAAAGAUAAUGCCAUCGUCCAUAUCUAACAGGCCAUUACUAAGGGAAGUACCCUUUCAGACUGCUGGAUUUGUCAUCAAAACUGAUCUGUUCAUGAUGCUAGAGACACCCUGUCUCCAAACUUGGGGAACUCUGUGUCCGGGUUCUAUGCAAAGAAAGGGACACAAAGCAAGGGUAACCAGAAUAAAACUGCCUGUGUGGUGGUGAUAGAUGGAAAUUAGUAUUUGGGUGAUGGACAUGAUGUAAUCUACACAGAAGUUGAAAUAUAAUGAUGUGCACCUGAAAAAAAAGAAUGAAAGAAAAGAAAGCAAAAAACUGCCUAUGCAGUCUACAGACCUUAAAAUUUUACUAGCCACCAUGACUGUCGCCUUUCCAGUCCUGAGCCACAGAUUCAAACAGGAAUUACUGGGAGGCAUUGAUGAAUCAGAAUUUGCUUCCUUUGACUUGUUAAUAGGAUAGCCCUUGAUUAUCUUUUAGCUGAGCAAGGAGGUACGUGUGCUGUGGCCAACACUGCCUGCUGCAUAUGGAUUAACACUUCUGGGGAAGUUGAAACUCAGUUACAUAAAAUCACUGAGCAAGCCAUUUGGCUUGAAAAGGUGACUCCUUCAGUGGGGUCUUUCUGUGACAUUGAUAUUGAUGGGUUUGGGUCUUGGGGACCAUGGCUCCAAAGUGCACACCAGACAUUGGGAAUUAUCUUGCUUAUAAUAAUCAUAGUAAUCUUUCUAGUGAGCUGUAUUCUCUCAAAAGCUUUAAAUGUAUGUUCACAGCCACUGAUCACCAAGCAAAUGAUCUCCUUAAGACUAGAAUGUUAGAAAAGGCACAAAGAGAAUUACCGACUUAAAAAUUGUGAACCCAAGUUGUGGCCUAUGAAUAUCACAGAAAUAAAGCAAAAAAACCAUCAUUACCUGUGAAUACCACACAAAGGAUCAAUAAAAACCAUAAGAACUUCAGAGUGGUGGCUGGGAGUGGCACUAAUGCCUUAAAUUUUGAUCACAUCUCUCAGUUAGGCUGAGAAUCUGAUCAAAAGGGGAAAUUGUUCAAAAAGAGACAACAAGUCCCAAAAUGGAGUCACUUGUGCUAAGUCCAUGUGACCAAACUGAGACUUAAUACCUAACCUAGUUGCAGUCUCAGCCCCCAGGAGCGUGAUCGUAACCAGUCAGUCUGGAAUUUCCUGGUCAGCACUAGUGAGGUAGGUAAUCCACCUGAUAGACCCUUUAAUCCCCAAAAGGAAGAUGCUCUUGCCUCAAACAAUCCACUCUUUUCCCCCUUCUGUGUAUAAAAGCCUUCCAUUUGUACAGCACCUGUUUGCUAGACGGAAUGCUACCAGAUUCAUGAAUUAUUGAAUAAAGUCAGUUAGAUCUUCAAAA